AUGGUUCAAAUUUGCAGCCAGGAAGCCAGAUGCAAUGCUGCUGGGAUCACGUCUGGGGAAGAGACCACGCACCACCCCCACCCUCACCCUUAUCCCCUCAAAGAACAGCCUUGUUUGGAGCUGCCUGUCAGUCAGGAAAAAGUGCUCCUUGUUCCGUCUGUUCUGCUCAUAUCAUCACCCAAAGAUACCCCUUUUUCCCGGAUCGCGCGCUCCCAAAAUGGGUCUCCAAAUCUGAUUAUUGGUAUGCUUCAUCAGGUUGAGAGAUUUUGCCCGAUGGCGUAUUGGCAUUUGACUUGUGAUUUAUUCUCUCUCCCUCUCACCUGCAAAUAGAGAGCUGCAGCUGGCAGUGAUUGCCCUAUUGCAUUUUAGCUCUGUUUGGUUCUGCUCUCGUUCUCGCCAAAAUCUGUUUACUGAGUUUAUUUCACACAAGCAAAGAACCUUACCUCUAAUUUCUUGCUGGAAGACACUGACAGAAACACAAAAACACUUUUCACAGAGCAACUUUGUAGCUAUAGACACAAAAAAGUGCCACAAUAAUGUUGCAAUACUUUGACCUAGAUAGCUAGAAAUAAUUUUUUCUGUUGCUAAAAGCCAUUAUUUGAAGGAUCUCCUUCACUCUGACACUAUAACCAUCCUACCUAUCCCAUCUGAGUGCCACACCUCCACACCAUUUCCAUUAGCUGCCACGAAGGGUGGAGGAGUUUUUGAAGGUAAGAAGCAGAUCUAAAGCGACAGCCAAAUGGAAAAUCCUGGACACACUUAAAGAGACGGAAAAUGGAGUAAAAACACUCAGGUUGAAAGUUACUUCUUCCACCUCUGUUCAUGAGCUCCCAUGAUCUGUGCUUAUGGCUUUGCAUUUUUUUUUCCUCAACCAGUUAUCCCUCUCCUCUUUGUCAGCACUGAUUUGACUGUAAAGUCCAUUUUUCAUGCGGACAACCGAGGACAGUGACAUGAUUGCAUCUCAGUAAAAUUCGCUGUGGCUCGUCUCAUUUGGGGGCAAAGGAGGAAAAGUGUGUGAUUGUAAAAAGUUUAAUUUUCCAUGGAAAACUUCAGUUUUCUUCCUGUUUCCUAACAACUGGGACAACAAGUGGUUUGCUGUUACUGCUUAGUAUUAUGAUGACACGGAUGACAAAAUUUGCUGAAUUCCUAACAAAAACAAUGAUUUUUCUCUAAAUUAAAAAAAAAUGAAAAGAAAUGGAAAUUUUGUAACGUGAAGCCCUGUAAAUGUUACUGUAAAAUAAAUAAAUAUUGACAGGAUAUCUUUUCCACAGUAUAAUAAAAUAUUUGGGAAAAUGAGAUUUUAUGUGUUAAAAUGGAAAUCAUAUAUUUAGAAUAUUGUUAUUGUUAUUUGUGUUUGACUUUAAUAGUUGUGGAUGUGGGAUAUGUAACUUGCUUUCCGGUGUUUAUGGCUGAGAUUGCAAUAUUUAAGUUUAGCUUGCAAUGGGCAGACAUGCCCAAGACUCCAUGCCCCAGUACUGUAAAUCAUGUAUGUUGUAUAGUACCAUCAUUUCUUUGAGCACUGAUUGUUAUUGAUUACAGUAAGCAGAGUGUAAAAUAACAAGUGAAACACUUAACUGUAAAGUGACAUUUUCAACAGUGUAGCCUUAUUGAAGAGGAAAAUUUAAGCAAAGAUGACUUUUUUAAAUACCAUACUCAAGCAAAACAGUAUCUUCCACACGUUUAUGUGACAUCUGUUCUAGAUGGCAAUGAGUAAGACUGAUAACCUGAGGAAGGGAAACCUGUUUUCAACCAACGGUGCCAAUUAAACAGCUUUUCUGUAGUAUAGAAAUCUUAUACUCUUUGGAUUGAAAAAAAAGAAUGUAAUAAAGGCAAAAAUUAUAUAUUUGGAAAAGCAAAUGAGGACUGAAUAAAUAUGUUUUAUAUAUAUAUAAAGUCUGUCAUUCUGUACAUCUCCUAAUUUGUUCCACUGUGUUUGAAGGACAUGUGACAUUGCG
ensembl:lncRNA